AAACAGAACAGCAUGGCAUCUAUACCAGUCACUAGACGAUGGAGCAUUGGCCUGGAAUACAAGAAAUCCUCUCCCGCGUUGGGCUGGGCUCCAGAGACGUGGUUAGAAUUUCUCCAUACCCGGCGCAAGGCAUGAUCGUGCCGAUUUCUCUUUUCCCGGUCUCUCCAUGCAUUUUUGGUCUUGGCAUUUGCAUUUUCCUGAUGUUAAGCCCAAGGAGGCACACAGCAGGGGCUCAGAAAUGGCAGCUGAUGGAGGGAUGGACGCGCUGGAGGCAGAGGUCAGAAAUAUGCUGAGACUUUUUAUUGGGCCAUCCGAAUCCACUCUUCACCCUUCCCCAUCCUAGUCUACUGAUCGUUAUCGCGGGGUUCCCUUGACCUCUCGCUCCUGUUGGGAUCAGAGGAAGGCCAGGGUCUGGGGUCAGGGGCGUCCUGAUCCCCCUGUCAAGGUCGCUGCAGGCUGGGCACCUCCCUUUAUUGCAGUCGUCAGCUCUUCCGCACUGCUCUCCCCACUUCCUCUUCCAAGUCCAGGUCGGUCACGGCGCCCUGGAGAGGCUAGUCCCGGGGCGCUGCAUCUCCUGCGUUGUUUCCCUUGAUGCUACUACCCACGCCCUUAAAAACCAUCCCUGUGUUGGCCUAUCUUCACCCACCCUGCUUGGUGGCCUCCGUUUCCCGCCAGGACCCUGACUGAUGUGGAUAAGGGGAUGUUGCCAAAUGUGACAUCACUGCAAACUCACACUAAUGGAAGGAUGUAUGCAAACUUUAGAAUAUGAACAGAUAACCCACCUUUAAAAUACUCUUUUUUCAGCUCAUUCUUCCAGUUAGCACAGCUGGCCAGCUUGAGAGGAAAUCUCUCCUUACCCCCCAAAUGAUGAAAUCAGCCCCUACUUCAUCCCUUGGCUCCAGCGCCAGCUGUCUCGGGCCCGGACCUCCUCUUGCGGGUCCCCCCCUGCCCUGCACUUCCUAUCGCCGUGAGCUUCUUAGCCACUCAUUCGGGUGGAGACCUUCCCUCUAGAGACGUACUGGCCACGGCUGAGUCAAGCAGCUCCCAGGAAAGUUUCAGGCAACAGGGAGCUGGUUUUUCCGAGAAUUAGCUUUUUUGGCAUCAACCACACUCUAGCAGGCUCGGGCCUGAGUUGAUUAAUCAGAACGGCCAACCUGAUUAAUGCCACACGUUGUUUCCACUCCCACUCAGAUAAUCUGUGGGCUGUGUGACUAACGUGGAUACUCAAAGGCAGGACGCUCUGAGCUCCAGUCUAGGUGAGCACACACAUCUGGAGAGCGGGAACCCGUGUCCCAUCCCUGGCUGGGCUGAGGACUCCUGGAGGAGGGCUUCAGGCUGGGCUGGCUCAGGCAUCUGGAUGUCUGGGUUUAAAUCCCAAAUCUGUUGCAUUCUGGUUGUUAGAGCCCUGGCAAGUUAUGCAGCCUUCCAGAGGCUCAGUUUCUUCUUUAAAAUGAAGAUCAGUGUAAGAAUGACAUACAAAGGUGCUCUCAAGAAAUCUGUUGACAUAGAAAGCAGGAGUCCAGGCUAGCAGAUGCAAAGAGAGCAGAUUAUGCCGGGAAGACACAAACAAGGGCAUAGCUGACGGACGUGGGCUGGGCCACAGACUGGUGUUGACCAGCCUCCUCCUUGGUUCUCUUGCUUAUGGAGAAUGGAUUGAAUCCUGGCUCUUCACAUUGGCUGUGUGACCUCAGAAAGUCACAUGAAGUCUCUGUGCUACCGUUUCCUGGUCUGUGAAAUGGUAACAGUGUCCCCACUGGGUUAUUGGAUUAAAUGAGUUAAUAAGAAUAAAUCUCUUACAACUACAGCUGCCUUUAGCGGG
ensembl:lncRNA